GGCGCGGAGGCCGGGCCGCGGCUGCUCUGCUCGCGCCCGGGGCCGCCGACGGGAGGACGGGGCGCGCCGGCACAGGUGGUCCGCGGCGAGCCGGAGCGAGGAGCAUGGCCAGGUGCGGCGGGACGAGCGGGCCCCGGGCCUCGCGGGCGCCCGGCUCCAGCCAUAACACAAAGACAACAUCAUGGCUGGAUCCUCGACUUGCGAAAAAGGCUAAACCUCCAGAAGAGUGCAAAGAGAAUGGUAGGUCAUUAAGUUUCUAUGAUGUUUCUGCGUUGCGCUUUGAGCAUGUUUGUGUUUCUUAAAGGAGGGUCUCACCGACAGGAGCAAUCAUGUAGUUGAGACAA
rnacentral:lncRNA from 12 species